UAGCCGUAAACGAUACUCGCUAGGUGUCGGCCACGGUGCGACCGUUGUCGGUGCCGUAGGGAAGCCGUGAAGCGAGCCACCUGGGAAGUACGGCCGCAAGGCUGAAACUUAAAGGAAUUGGCGGGGGAGCACCACAACGGGUGGAGCUUGCGGUUUAAUUGGAUUCAACGCCGGAAAUCUUACCGGGACCGACAGCAACAUGAAGGCCAGGCUGAAGACUUUGCCGGAUUAGCUGAGAGGAGGUGCAUGGCGUAGACGUCU
rnacentral:rRNA from 1 species